rnacentral:lncRNA from 1 species
GAGAAGACUAUCAUCAAGUUAGUGAAUGCAUACACUGUUUUUAAAAUUAUUAGGUCUAGAUAAGUGUAGGUUAAGGGUCCCAUUAUGAUGUAGUAUUUAAAAGCAUACUUUUAAGUGGAAAAGUUGGUGAGCGGCUAGUCUCUACCUCUAAUCAGUAGCAACCAGAGGAAAGAAACAAACUGUCAAGGCGAUAUCUUAAGGUCGUUGUGAGGCCCAGCCCAGGUCUUCUAACUUGAGCUCAGUUCUUCAACCUUUGGUGGGGCCCAGUGUGCCUUUGAAAUCAGAUAAUUGUGGCUCAUCUCUCUAGGAAAAUAAACCCAGGAUUUUUAGAUGCUCCACAUGGACACAAGGAGCUCUAUGCACAAAGAAGCCAGCUCAACCCGAUGGAGUAAAAACAUUAAGUAAGUUGAAUCCUGAGCAGAGAUUAGAUAAUUGUCUUGGAUGGGACUUUGGGAACAGUCACAGGAGAUGAGGCAUCUUCCUGAUGAGAUGGUCUUCGGGGAAUGUUAGAUUUGUGUGAGUGUUGUUGGGCUCCUGAGUCAAAGCAUGGGUUGUGGGGCUGGCCUUAGUCCAGGCUCCAGGGAGAAUGAUGUACUUACCCUUGUAAAUUGUGGUAUUCAGUAAAAGCAUUGCCU